rnacentral:rRNA from 1 species
UACGGGGGGAGCAAGCGUUGUUCGGAUUUACUGGGCGUAAAGGGCGCGUAGGCGGCCACCGCAAGUCAGUUGUGAAAGCUCUGGGCUUAACCCAGAAAGGUCAGCUGAUACUGCGGGGCUAGAGUGCAGAAGGGGCAACUGGAAUUCUCGGUGUAGCGGUGAAAUGCGUAGAUAUCGGGAGGAACACCAGUGGCGAAGGCGGCGAUCUGGGUCGAUACUGACGCUGAGGUGCGAAAGCGUGGGGAGCAAACAGG